rnacentral:rRNA from 1 species
AUAGCUCACUAGUCAAGAGAUCCUGCGCCGAAGAUGUCCGGGGCUCAAACUUACCACCGAAGCUAUGGAUUCAAUAGAAUGGUAGAGGAGCUUCCUGUAUGGGUAGAAGUCGUAUCGUAAGAAGCGGUGGACUGUACAGGAGUGAGUAUGCUGGCAUGAGUAGCGAGAAAUAAGUGAGAAUCUUAUUGGUCGAAAACCUAAGGUUUCCUGAGGAAGGUUCGUCCGCUCAGGGUUAGUCGGGACCUAAGCCCAGGCCGAAAGGCGUAGGUGAUGGACAAUCGGUUGAUAUUCCGAUACCGCCAACUUUCGUUUGACAAAUGGGGUGACACAGAAGGAUAAGGUAUGCACACUAUUGGAUGUGUGUCUAAGCACUUAGGCGUGCUUGAUUGGCAAAUCCGUCAAGCUAAGCUGAGGUGUUAUGGGGAGCCUAUUUUGGCGAAGUGCCUGAUUCCACACUGUCAAGAAAAGCCUCUAUGGAGAAUGUUGGUGCCCGUACCGCAAACCGACACAGGUAGGUGAGGAGAGAAUCCUAAGACCAUCGGAAGAAUUGCUGUUAAGGAACUAGGCAAAUUGACCCCGUAACUUCGGGAGAAGGGGUGCCAUGGAAACAUGGCCGCAGUGAAUAGGCCCAAGCAACUGUUUAGCAAAAACACAGGUCUCUGCUAAAGCGAAAGCUGAUGUAUAGGGG